GCUUCGGUGGUGUAGUGGUAACACGAGUCCCCGGUGUGGAUGAAAUGAGGGUUUAACUCCUGUCCGAGGUU